CGGGUGAGUAACGCGUGGAUAAUCUGCCUACCAUGGGGGAAUAACCAACCGAAAGGUUGGCUAAUACCGCAUAAGGCCACAAUUUCUGAGGAAAUAGGGGCUAAAGAUUUAUCGCUGGUAGAUGAGUCUGCGUGGGAUUAGCUAGUUGGUGGGGUAACGGCCUACCAAGGCUACGAUCUCUAACAGGUCUGAGAGGAUGACCUGUCACACUGGAACUGAGACACGGUCCAG
rnacentral:rRNA from 1 species